GGGUACAAGUAUACCUUGAUUCCAUCAUGAGAUUACCCUUAGAGGGUAGGUUGCUGCUGUUCGUGAGUUGAUCGUGCUCACAUAGCCUGUCUGCGCUUGGAGGGGUCGCUCCCCACAAGCUGUGCACUCCGGAGGUUGGUCACUAGAGAGAUAGUCAGUGUGCUGUCUGGACGGUCAGUGUGCUGUCCGCAGGCGGUCUCGGGGAGUAGUUCAGUGAGACUUUCCCUAUGAGAUUUACACGUGAGUUAUGCUUGUGAAUCACGAGUUCACCUUGAGAUUUGGUUACCUAUUGAGUCAUACUCAUUAUUGUUGUUCAUGGUAGCUAGCUUCAUAGUUGUUGUUGUUGUUCAUAGUUGCUUAGUUACCCAGCUUUAUUUAUUGUUCAUGCAUCCAUGAUAUUAGAUUGAGGCAUAGCUUGAUAUACCUGUUUCACAUACCUGCUUUCAGGUCAGUUUAGUUUUAUAUAUAUUGCAUAUAUAUAUCUCUCUAUGCCUGCUUAAGACCUAGUGGGUAGAUCGGCGGAGUCGGCGGCCGAACCCACUGGGAACUAUUCGUAGUUCUCACACCCUUGUUGCAGGUGCUAGUUCGAGCGUCCCGACUGAGCGGGAGGAUCGCGGCAAGGGCUUAGCGCCCUAGCAGUAUCAGUUGAUAGCUUACUUUCCUACUUGCAUUAGUUCCAUCCUGUUCUUAUAUUUUGAGAGUAGAUGAUGUAUAGGGUGAGGUUUGGAGAGGAUUUGAUGUAUUUACAUUUUUGGAAAAAGAAUGCAAGUUGUAUUAAAUGGUUAAAGCUUUAAUGACAUCAAGGGAUUAAAUGUUUCAAUUAUGUCUCAAAUAGUUAAGUUUCUCUCUUUU
rnacentral:lncRNA from 1 species